UCUCCGGUGGCCCAGUGGUUAGUGCGUCCGCCUCGGAUGCGGAUGGUCGCAAGUUCAUACCCCAGUUGAGUGAU